UACAGAGGGGGCAAGCGUUAUUCGGAAUUAUUGGGCGUAAAGGGCGCGUAGGCGGCCUUUCAAGUGACGGGUGAAAUCCCUCGGCUUAACCGAGGAACUGCCUGUCAGACUGGAAGGCUUGGGACCGGGAGAGGUGAGUGGAAUUCCCAGUGUAGCGGUGAAAUGCGUAGAUAUUGGGAGGAACACCAGUGGCGAAGGCGGCUCACUGGACCGGAACUGACGCUGAGGCGCGAAAGCGUGGGGAGCAAACAGG
rnacentral:rRNA from 1 species